AGAGUUUAAUAUACUUUAAUACAAAUGUAGAAUGUGUUUGGAAAUUUUAAAACAACACUAAAGAUCAUAGGCUUCAAUAUAUAGAGUAUUUACCGAAAAACUCAAUAUUUUCGUAGGGGUUAGUUAACACAUAGAUUUUGAGGAAAAUUCAGAAAAUAUGACAAUACUAUUUUAAUGCAUAAUUGCAUCUUGCACUAACAUACGAUGAAGUUCAAAGAGGUUUAGAACCUUUGGUGUCUCCGUUUAUCUAGAGAAUAUCGAUUUUAUAGUGGUUAGUCCACCAAUUUAGGGAGUAUUGUGAGUUUUACUAAAUUAAUUGAUGAAAAAUUAAAACGAUAUCCAUGUACCAUGAAAGAGAGUUUAAUAUACAUAAAUACAAAUGUAGAAUGUGUUUAGAAAUUUUAAAACAACACUAAAGAUCAUAGACUUCAAUGUAUAUAGCAUUUACAAAAAAACUCAAUAUUUUACACAAAUAUAACUAAUGCAAGUUUAUGUUUAUAUGCUUAGGUCAAUGAAUCAUGCACUUUUAUAUUAUUUUGACUAUAAUCUCAAAAAAUUAAUUGAAAUAUUUUCUUAAGAAAAAUAUAAUUAACACAAGUUUAUGUUUUUCUGUAGAUUGAUAUGCUUAGGUAAAUGAAUCAUGCACUUUUAUAUUAUUUUGACUAUAAUCUCAGAAAAUUAAUUGAAAGAUUUUCUUACAAAAAUAUAAUUAAUGCAUGAUUGAAUUUAUAUGCUUACGUAAAUGAAUCAUGCACUAUUAUAUUAUUUUGACUAUAAUCUCAUAAAAUUAGUUGAAAGAUUUCCUUACAAAAAUAUAAUUAAUGCAAGUUUAUGUUUAUAUGCUUAGGUAAAUGAAUCAUGCACUUUUAUAUUAUUUUGACUAUAAUCUUAGAAAAUUAAUUGAAAGAUUUUCUUUACAAAAAUAUAAUUAAUGCAAGUUUAUGUUUAUAUGUAUAUAUAUAUCAAUCUGAAAUAUAAUAGAACUCUCAAACAAUUUAUAAAACAUCCUACAAAAUGAGUCUCUCCAAAAAAUAUAUAUUAAUCGCAUUUGUUUUCACUCUUUUUUUGGCGACGUCAAUUGUUCGCUGCACCGAUAUUAUUUCAGAUUUCGGAGUAAAGUAUAAUAUGUGCUAUGGUCCAUGUGACGACAAAGGAGUGUGUGAGCCGUAUUGUCAUACCAAAAAAGGUCUGAUAAGGGGAGACUGUGCUGGCAAACGAAAAGGUUAUCUUGGCCUUUGUUGUUGUGAUGAACACUAAAUAAAAUAUUAAAUAAUAUCAUUAGAUAUUAUAUCUUGUAUGAAAUGAAAUAAUAUUACCAAUAAUACAUAAAAUGCUUUUACAAAAAAAAUAUAAAAUGUUAUCAAAUUGAAGUUACUUUGAUUAA